GGGAAUAAUUUGGGAGCAUGGGAAAGGAAGGAGCGCAGGCUGCAACUUGCUGCUUAUAAAAAGCCGUCCAGCUGCGCUCAUCUGCAUCUUCCAUUGAAAAUCUGCAGCCUUACUGUCACAGCAGCCAUUCUUUGACGAUUUUCCCAUCUUGAGAUUCUUCUGGCUUAUAGUUUUUCCUCAAUACGGGAUUUCUUUGCUUGUGAUCUUACUCCAACGUUUUGUGCAGCACAAUGGUGAUAAGGAAGUGUGAAAGGCCGAACUUAUUCGUGCAGCAUUACCAGCAACCGUACACCUUGCACCGAUUGGUGGUACUUUGGCUUUCGAUCAGAGUGCCAGUACAUCCAAAUAAAUUAACAAUGCCCAUGGAGCCUAUUAGCUCAAAACUUUCCUCUCCGAAUUUUCUGCAACCUGAUGCGGUUAGUCCAAACGUUCGUUCCGAUGUGUCGCUCAGGGGAGCGGACGAACAGUCCAAACCAAUCCAGUGGAUUCCCUGCCACCGUGCCAUUCUGGCGGCCAAAAGUACCUACUUCCGCUCCAUGUUCGCGUCGCAGAUGAAAGAAUCUCAUGAAGAACAGAUCCAGCUGCAGGAUAUGCCUCAUGACAUCUUAGACCAGGUUGUCCGGUACAUAUAUACGGCAAAAAUCUAUUUGGAUGCCAGCAAUGUUCUUUUACUACUUGAAUUUGCAAUAUUCCUCGAUGUGUCCGAGAUCGUCCGCGCAUGUACAGAAUUUUUAGAAGGCAACAUGAACACCGGAAACUGGUUGACCGUGCAGCGCACGGCGGAAUUCCUGUCCUGCCGCGAUAUAAUCAAAAUAUGCAAAGAAUUUGUCGUCAGGAAUUUUUCAGCUGUUUCGCGAUGUGAUGAUUUUCUACAGAUUGGCGAAUCUCAGAUGAUCGAACUUAUUGCUUCUGACGAUUUGUAUGCAAAGAGCGAAGACGAAGUGGCAGAUGCUGUGAUACGCUGGUUAAACAGAGAUCCAGCUCAGCGGAUUCUCUGCGUUGGCGAAAUUCUACCGCUUAUUCGAGCGCCGUUUCUGAGUGCUGAGCAUGCCAAAUAAGUUCGUAGCAUCUACAUGGAUCCAGAAAAAGCGCCUGUUGAACAGUUCUAAAAGGUCACGGAUGGUAUAAUCCGGCAUACGCCAUAUCAACACCGCAGAUCAUACGAGCCGAUCUUACUUGCUGUGGGUGGCGAUUACAGACCAAAAUGCGUUCAUCGUUUUAAUCCAGUUACCAAGGAAUGAUUUCUCGUGCGAAUGCUGCCUCCAUCGCAGAAAAAGCAAACCGGAAAUUUACCAGUUAUCGUCUCACCGAGUGGUAGUGUACUUAUCUACGAACUGAUAUAUGAUGAUGCCAUCGCCCGUAGCUGCGUGUGGCGGUAUGAUUCCGAUUCGGACCAAUGGGAGCGCUUGACCCCGCUGCCCGUCGGACGGUGCGAGGGUCCGCUAGUGGCCAGUGAAAAGGUGUAUGUCCUUGUUAGUGGCGACCGAUCGCAGACCUUCGUAUGCUAUAAUGAAAAUUCCAAGGAAAGGGAGAUAAUGGAAACGGAAACGUCUUAUUGUCAUCGGCGAUGACGGUAGAUGAUAACGGUUGUAUUUAUACGUUUGGCGGCCAUGACCUUUCGUAUAAGGUUCAUAAGGAAGGGCGUCUUUCGGACGACGCUUAUUGCUUCAAUCCGCGCCACAAGACGAUAAAAACGUUGCCGAAAAUGCCGUCCAAACGAUACCAAAGCUGUGUCGCUGUUAGUCCCGAUGGCCUGAUAUAUGUCAUUGGUGGAAUAGGUUCGGAGCAUAAACGAAAGUUUAAAGAGUUCUUUGUGGACUGUUUUGAGGCGUACAAUCCGAGGACCAAUCAAUGGCAGGCAAAACAUGCAAAGCCAUUGGCUGUAUCAUCCGACUGCUCUCGGUUGCUUACGUUUGAUGGGAGGAUCCAUCUAUUCAGGAAUAUAAUAACGUAAUACGAUGCAAUCCAGGACAGCUGGGUCCAUUUCGCAAGCCGUACCCCGCCGAUCGGUAAAUGUUUUGGUUACGGGUUGGUUCCACAACAUGUUGUCCAGAAAUGGAUGCUGCAACCCGGCUCAUGUGUGCACCUGAAGUGUCCCAGGGGUUGCUCAGAAAACCAUUCUUAGUUCCAAACAGUUACCGGUAAUUGUGCCAACGUAGGCGCAGCAUGGCGACCAGCUGCGUUCGGUUUUCAGCCAAGUUUUGUCUGUGAAUUGUGUGUCUGGCCCAGUCUGGGAAUGGUCUCUUCCAGACUUUUUUGUAGCUACUUUUUCUGCUGUAAAUACAGAUACGAGUAUAGUAUAUAAACCAAAAAUCGUUUGGAAUUUGGUAUAUGUCAUGAUGUUCAGGAUCUUAAUGUUCAGGAUUCACCUGCUUGUUUUCUUUCACUGCUUUCGAAAAUGGUUUGCGUAGUCAUCCAAACAACCACAAAGUAUUUCAAAUUUUGAUGCUG